GUGUCAGCAGCCGCGGUAAUACGUAGGGUGCAAGCGUUAAUCGGAAUUACUGGGCGUAAAGCGUGCGCAGGCGGUUAUGCAAGACAGAUGUGAAAUCCCCGAGCUCAACUUGGGAACUGCAUUUGUGACUGCAUAGCUAGAGUACGGCAGAGGGGGAUGGAAUUCCGCGUGUAGCAGUGAAAUGCGUAGAUAUGCGGAGGAACACCGAUGGCGAAGGCAGUCCCCUGGGCCUGUACUGACGCUCAUGCACGAAAGCGUGGGGAGCAAACAGGAUUAGAAACCCUGGUAGUCC
rnacentral:rRNA from 1 species